GUGUACUCCCCAUGUCCUUAUCAUUUUCAUAAUGCUCGACACGCAUUUUAAGAUAUCUAUAAAAUAUAGUUCUAUAAUUUAUUUUUAAAAUUUUUCUUUUUUUAUAAAAAUUUGAACAUGAAUUUUUAUUUAGAAGAAAAAAAAUAAUUUAAAAUAAUUUAUCGAACUAUGCUUUACGAGAGCAUUAGAAUGCGUACUGAGUCCCGUCCGUAUUUAGUCAGCAUGCACCUUAGUUUAUUCAAUGAAAGUGUGCUCUGCUCUUUGUGCUUUGUAGCCUCUUCUAAAGUCCAUGGUAUUUCACUCGUCUGUCUAAGGUUUCUUCAGAUCUCUUUGGCGGAAAAGUGACAGCCCAAGGUUCACUGCAAUUGAUAGGUGAUUCUUCUGCAGUUCAAUCUCUACUGAAGCAACCAAACAAGGAGCAGCCAUAUAAAGAACAGAGGAAUAUAGUGAAAUGUUGAGCAAUACAUGUAGGUAAAAAGAAUCUCUGAGACAUUAUUGGAGUUUCGUUUCGAUGAUUUCCUAAAGGCGGUUUCUUACUCUGUAUCAAAGGUUGUCACCCUUUUGAUAUCCAAAACAUUGUUGAAAUAUAGAAUAAGAUCCAUUUGGGGCAUUCCUCUAGCACCUUAAGGUUUUAGAUGGACUGAUUUUCAACAUGGUAUCAGAGCUUUGGUUUGGCGGAAGUCUCAAGUUCGACUCUGAUGGGCGCCUCGGUAGAGAUUGGUUCCAUUAGCAUAACACCCUCAGGCUCAGGUUGCCUAGAGGCCCUCGAAUGAUCCUAAUCCCAAUGGUAAUAAGAGAUUAUGACUUUUUUGUUCCUGAUACGCGACCAAUGACUACUUUACCAACUGAUACUCUUCACCUCCUUUUUUUAGCAGAAGCUUCAGAUGAAUCCUGUGAAAGUCCAUCAUCAUCCAAAAGAUUAUCGUGUCAUAGUAUUUUCAGUCUCUUUCAAUAGUCUGCUUGCUCUAAGGUUGUAUUUGUUCGUGCAUGAUGCCUCAUGAUUUAUUUAGUAAAAAAAGGAUUUUCUGUGUUUUCAUGGAGUUAUAAGCUUCACUCAUGAUUCAUAACGAGUCAUCUUCAAGUCACACACGCUAUGUGUGCCGGACUGAUGGCCCGAGUUGCGUCGGUUCUCAAGCAUGGGAGGCUUCACCACCUCCAGGAGUCGAUCACUAAAAAUGACCGGAUUAAUCGGUUCCUCAGACUUGAAUAAAAGAGAAAAGUAGGAAGAGAACUCAAUCUAG
rnacentral:lncRNA from 1 species